UCAUCUUUCCUCUUGUUGUUUCCGACAUUUUCUUUUCAAAAUUAGAAAUGAAACCACCACUGUUCCUCUCUAACCAUCACUAAGCUCUCGUCUUUAACUCUUCUACACAACCGCUAAUGGGAUUGCAUUUCAAGUUAACACUAUCAUGCAGAUUACAGAUUACGGAAGGAACUGCCGAACUGGAAGUAGUAAGAUAGAUCGAGCGGCAAGCUUUGGAAGCUUGAAGUGUUAGAAUUUUUUUUCUUCUAUUGUUUAUGAUAUGUGUAUCACGGGAUCUGUCUGGGGUAUUUGCAUAUCGGUACUGACUUACAUUUUGCUGUCCAAAAUGUAACAUUACUGGUUGGGUGUGUAUGAAAUUCGACAUGGAACCUUUCUUUUGGAAAAUGUGACUGUAUAAACAUGUCCUCUAGUAUAUAUUACCCUUUCUA